rnacentral:rRNA from 1 species
GACGAACGCUGGCGGCGUGCUUAACACAUGCAAGUCGAGCGGGAAACUUCGGUUUCCAGCGGCGGACGGGUGAGUAACACGUGGGCAACCUGCCUCACAAUGAGGGAUAGCCUUCCGAAAGGAAGAUUAAUACCUCAUAACACAAGAGAAACGCAUGUUUCUCUUGCCAAAGAAUUUCGUUGUGAGAUGGGCCCGCGGCGCAUUAGCUUGUUGGUGAGGUAACGGCUCACCCAGGCUUCGAUGCGUAGCCGACCUGAGAGGGUGAACGGCCACAUUGGAACUGAGACACGGUCCAGACUCCUACGGGAGGCAGCAGUGGGGAAUAUUGCACAAUGGAGAAAACUCUGAUGCAGCAACGCCGCGUGAGUGAUGAAGGUCUUCGGAUUGUAAAGCUCUGUCUUCUGGGACGAUAAUGACGGUACCAGAGGAGGAAGCCACGGCUAACUACGUGCCAGCCGCCGCAGUAAUAC